rnacentral:rRNA from 1 species
GAUAAACGCUGGCGGCGUGCAUAACACAUGCAAGUCGAACGAUGGAACUGAAAGGGUUUGUUCGUACUGAAGUUGAUUGGCGUAGUGGCGGAGGGGAGAGUGAAGUGUGAGUAACCUGCGUUGUACACGGAGGUAGCCGUUGGCUAAGACGGAUUAUGACCUAUGGGUUAAAAUAGUCGAAUGACGAUUUUAUCAACACUGUAUCGGUCUAAGAUGGAUUGACGUCGGAUUAGCGAGAUGGCGGGGUAAAGGCCUACAAAGGCGACGAUCAGUAGCUGGUUUGAAAGGAUGAUCAGCCACACUGGAACUGAGACACGGUCCAGCAUCCUACGGGAGGCAGCAGUGGGGAAUAUUGGACAAAGGGCGCAAGCCUGAUCCAGCCAUACCGCGUGGGUGAAGAAGGCCUUCGGGUUGUAAAGCCCUUUUGUUGGGAAAGAAAAGCAGCAGGUUAAUACCCCGCUGUUCUGACGGUACCCAAAGAAUAAGCACCGGCUAACUUCGUG